UACGUAGGGUGCAAGCGUUAAUCGGAAUUACUGGGCGUAAAGCGUGCGCAGGCGGUUUUGUAAGUCAGAUGUGAAAUCCCCGGGCUUAACCUGGGAACUGCGUUUGAAACUACAAGGCUAGAGUGUGGCAGAGGGGGUAGUGAAUUCCGCGUGUAGCAGUGAAAUGCGUAGAGAUGCGGAGGAACACCGAUGGCGAAGGCAAUCCCCUGGACCUGUACUGACGCUCAUGCACGAAAGCGUGGGGAGCAAACAGG
rnacentral:rRNA from 1 species